rnacentral:tmRNA from 1 species
GCACCGUUUAUGACUCCAGGCUGUUUGGGUCGAGUGGACUAAGUAUGCUGGCAUAAAUGUCAUACAACGAGAGUGUAGUUAUUGGGGGAACGGAGGGUGGGGGAGUGGGUGAUUGGGGGUCAAGUAUGGAACAUGUGUCACUGUCAGCAGUGUCCUGGUUUGCCAUAGAGUCCAGCGAUGCAAAUAUUUCCUUUAUAGCAUCAUCGAUGAACGCGUCCUCAGAUGAUCCGGGACACGCUUCCUGAGUAAUUUGUUCUGGGAACACGUUGGAACAUGUCUCAUCCUGUUUUCCAACAAAAUCUUGUCCCUGAGGCUCAACAAUUGGCGGGGCGGGCGUUGAGCCAGAUUGCACAAUAUGCUGGACAGGCGUAUCCCUGUGGCUAGAGAGCAACUCGGCCAGAAAACCAUAAGCCUGUUCGUGCCCAGAAGUGCGAGCUGUGGGUUUCUUGUUUGGACUACCGUCUGAAGAAUAAUUUACCUCCUCAUCGCUCUCCCUUAAUCUCUUUGCGGAACAGGUGUGAUUAUCUGGAAUUAGUUGUGGUUGAACGGCGCCUGUGUACUCAAAGGAUCCGCCCAUAGCUGAGUUGGGAGUAGAGACUCCAAUCAACUGGCUCAAGUAGACCUGCUUCGAUCCGUGCCAGUCCUAUAAGAACAGAAAACAUGGGGGAUGAAUUUUAUUAUCCUUCUCUGGAAAGCGUGGUCCACACCUUUUGUGUCAUAGAUACUAGGGAACAUAAUAGAGUAAGUGCCUGUUUGUGUAAGCUUCAGGUGCUGUGUAAAAUUUGUCAGACACUGCGCCACAACUUGGAUACAGAGCCAUUUUUGUUGCCCCACUUGAGGGAACUAAUUAUCAGACACCUAACACUAUUGGAGAGGUUGUCCACUACCUCCAAAUUUCAGCGCAUACUCGACUACAUGAAGCUAUCCCUUGAGGCAAAUGAUUCAAACUUGUUACAAGACUUGGCCAUAGGCACUGUCAAUUUACUGGGCUGUCAAAGUCCAGAGAUUUUGUCUAUCCCAUAUGACAAAGAUCAGCCUGUACAUGAAUGGUGUGCAUGUUUCCUGACCUCUGUAGACGAGGAAGCCUUGAGAAAAAUAUCUUCUAUGUUGGACAAUAAACACUUUUCUUAUAUGUACAACUUUAAAACAUUCUUAAAGUAUUCACUAGAGUUAGAAACAGCUGCAGACUUUGAUUUAUCUACUGGACUCAAUGUCCUUGUGUAUUGGGUAAGCGUCUUUAAACUGUUCAGUGUUUGUGUCCAAAGUCAGUUUCUGCUGGACAGCCUUGUGGCAUUUAAUGCCCUUUUUAAAAAUCAUGUAAAAGAGUUAGAAGCGAUUGUGGAAUCUGACACAAACCUGCUCUGCUAUAGCACAUCUGUUGUGUGGGCAAAAUUGUCUAACUUAAACCAUCUGCUCCACAGACUUCAGACUAGUAACAACACUUUAGUUUUUGAUGAAAUACUGAUCUGUCUGCGUGGUUUACAAAUUUAUAUAAAAUGUUUACCUACCUUAUCGGCUGAAGGGGAAUCCGAGUCAGAGGCCAUCGCUGCAGAAAUUCCCUCGUAGUGCAGGAGUUGUAUUUUUGAGUGUAGAUUGAAAAGAGUUGUGCUCUCUCCUCAGCCUUUGAAGGGACAUUUCAUGACUCAUGUAGGAGGAGCUACCAGAUUUCCAUAAAAGUGGGAGGCUAUUAUUUCUUGCAGACUGCAGCACAUUGUGGGAUAAUGUGUUCAAAAAUGGACCUUGAAACCCGUGAAGGUGGUGGUUGCCAGCAGGUUUCAAUUCUCAUGGUCACAUCUGACAGAGAAAAGGAACAGUAUGAGAAAUUUAUGAACAUACUUAAGAAUCUUUCAAAUUGUACUGAUAUAUCUCAGGUCGUGGCAGAUGCUAAAAAAAUCUAUGAUUCCAGGGAAUUUUGUUAUGUGCCUGCCCUUCUCACUCUGUUCAAGAAGUUGCCUUCUGUUCAUAAAUGGCCUGAAAAUGAAAACUGUAAUGAGGUGCUAAGUGCUGCCUUCUUUGUGUGCCAGCUCUUAUUUUUUCAUAACUUCCCAGCCUCACCAGCUUUUACAGUGGAUGAAAUGUUUGCAACAGUGGCUGCUAGAUUGAAGGAUCUGAUAGAAUAUUCAUGUGACUGUGAGAACUGUGAAUUGUUGGCUGAAUCCCUGACAAAUUAUAAGUUUUCCCUGGUACCUAUAAAGAUCAGGCCACACACCGAUACCUGUGUCUCACUGAAAACACUCCAGCGGCUACGGACUGCCAUGUUAGGCAAUCCUGAAACCCUGAGUAUUUGGACCCUUGAUGACCUGGUGGAGGACCCAGUAGUCUUCAAAGGCUAUGAAAGCGCAAUUAGGAGAGAAUUUGCUGAGCAUGUCACAUGUUUGAACAUGUGCUGGGUUGUGAAGAUAAUCUUGGACUGCAUGUCUCAGCCAACAGCUCUGCUUCGGGAUUGUAUUCAGAAGGGUGCAAAGAAUAAUGGACUCCAGCUGGACACUUCGAGUACCUGGACGUGGCCAGCAGCACGUAUUGCUGAAAAGGAAGUCAUAGAACAUACCAUGAGUGUUUGUGUACAGGAUAUGACUAGAAGUCAUGAUCAGGAAUUCUACACAGAGGCCUUUAAGGAAGAUCUCCAUAUAGGAUUAAAGAGACUAGUUGCCAUGGUCCUUGGGCAGAAUCAUAGUUGGUUAGAUGGCUUUCUGACAGACACUAUAGUGACAGGUAAAGCAUAGCCUGGGGCAUAGUUCUUUGAUGAAUCAUCAUAAAUAUGAUGGCUAAUGUGGUCCUUUUGUGUAUUAAUGCAGAUAUGUUUAUGUAUCCAGGUGUGUUGCUUGAAAGGUAUUUUGCUGUACUAACCCAACACCACCUAUUUAUCAUGUUUGGAAGCCUAUUAAAAACUGUGCUAUUGACUCUGGCGUUUGUGUCUUUGUCUACUUGUGACUCAAAAAUUUUACCCAAGCAUUGUUGCCAUAUUUCUGCAACCCCUACUGAGAAAAAAUCCUGGAACUUCCUGUCCUCCAUAACUGAGAUAUAUCUUAGUAGUCCAUCUUCGUGUGGGAAUAUCAAUGUGGCCCAGGUGAAAGUGAAAACCAAGACAGGAUACCACUUAGAAUGUGCAAAUGGUUUUGGACUCAUGGGCUUUCUUGAAGCCGUGGUCAGCAGGUUUAGAGACCCCACCCCCGAUGACGUUGAGUUCCUUAAACAACUUAAAUUGUUGCACGAUCAGUUUGAUGAGGUAUUUUCAGCAAGCACUGCCAACAGCUCCUCCUUUAAGGUCGCCGCCUGGUAACCAUGGACACUUGGCUAAAAACGCAUGUGUGGUCCCUGAAUGUUAUGCAGAGAGACUCAGUAAUGGAUUUUCUACCUCAAUCCUGGAUAGACUACUUACAACUCUCCGCGUUUUCAUCCAAGAAGCUUGAGCAGAUUAUGGCUGCAGUAGAAAACAGAAGAAAACAAAAUAUUGUCUAUCCUGAUAGUGAGGAUGUGAUGCGCUGGGCAUUUUCCUGCCCUCCUGAAAAUGUUAGGGUUGUUAUUCUGGGACAGGAUCCCUAUCAUGGGGGCCAGGCCAAUGGUUUGGCCUUUAGUGUUCAUGAAAACUUUCCAGUCCCACCGAGCUUACACAACAUUUUCCAAGAACUUAAAAGGUCAGUGCCUGAUUUUCAAAUUCCCCCUUCUGGCUGUCUUGAUAAGUGGGCAGAACAGGGAGUUCUUCUGCUUAACUGCAUCCUGACUGUAGAUAAGGGACGGCCUGGUUCUCACCACAAACUUGGAUGGGGAUGGUUCACAGACUAUGUCAUUUCUACAAUCUCUGAAAAGAAUGAUAAGUGUGUUUUUAUGCUGUGGGGAAACAAGGCAAUAGAAAAGGAAGUUCUGAUCAAUGGCAGUAAGCAUCUUGUAUUAAAGGCGCAACAUCCUUCCCCCCUGGCAUCUCUUGGUGGCUACUCAUCAAAACAGGCCCCGUUUUUGGGCUGUAACCACUUUUCAAUUGCCAACACAUAUUUAACGCAGCACAACAAACCCUCAAUUUCUUGGAACUUAUAAUGGACCCCUUUAAGAAACCAGUGAGAAUGUUGCCCAUAAAGGGGGCCCCGAUCUCUCGACCAAUAAGUGUUUUUACAUUUGACGUGUUUAACCCCCCGGACGAUUCCGAUGGGUCAUCAACUCCAGACUCAGUGUUUGAGGCGGAGACCAGCCCAGCAAGAACUCCUCCAACUCCCGCCUUGAUUCUACCCUAUGAUUAUGUGAGCAGUGAAGACUCUGAUGAUGAAGCACAAGAACAUGCGGAUAACCGGGACACUAAUGACCAGGUCAGCGAGUCAAGUACAAGUGAGGACUCUGAUUCAGAGUCUGAAAGUUCAUGUGACGAUACCCAGCAGACUUUCGUGGACGAUGAGUCCACCAGCUCUUCUGGCGAGGAAGACAGAGAUGAUCCUUUUGAGUCAAAUGACCAGGGCGCGCAGGGCGGGUCGACCUCUGAGUCUGAGGAUGACCUCCCUGCAAUACUGAGGGCUGCACGCGAGACACAAAGUGACAGCUCUAGUGACAGUUCCGGCAACUCCCAUAAAAAAAGGCGAGUGCAGGAAGAAGAAAGUAGUCGCAUCUUGAAAACCCCAGCCCCCAUUUCUGGUAAUGGAAAAUAUAACUGGCCAUGGUUGGAUUGAAACUUUAUUCAAUAAAAAUUAAUAUACAAGUA